rnacentral:misc_RNA from 1 species
CAGAAUUAACGAAGGGUUGUCGCUGGCUCUUAGGAGCAUGUGCACGCCCUUCAAAUUCUUCUCAACCACCUGUGCACUUUUGUAGACUAUGAUACCUCUCAACACUUUUUGUUGGAUUGAAGGGUUUGCGAUUCAGCUGCCUUUCAAUUUCGUAGUCUAUGUUUAUAUCUAUAUACAAAGUCCUAGAAUGUCUUUUUGUGGGUCUUUGACUGACCUAUAAAACUUAUA